rnacentral:rRNA from 1 species
UUUUAUGGAGAGUUUGAUCCUGGCUCAGGAUGAACGCUGGCGGCGUGCCUAAUACAUGCAAGUCGAGCGAACGGAUGAGAAGCUUGCUUCUCUGAUGUUAGCGGCGGACGGGUGAGUAACACGUGGAUAACCUACCUAUAAGACUGGGAUAACUUCGGGAAACCGGAGCUAAUACCGGAUAAUAUUUUGAACCGCAUGGUUCAAAAGUGAAAGACGGUCUUGCUGUCACUUAUAGAUGGAUCCGCGCUGCAUUAGCUAGUUGGUAAGGUAACGGCUUACCAAGGCAACGAUGCAUAGCCGACCUGAGAGGGUGAUCGGCCACACUGGAACUGAGACACGGUCCAGACUCCUACGGGAGGCAGCAGUAGGGAAUCUUCCGCAA